UCUUCAUAUACACACCUCACGCCAUUAACAGAAAGGACACCUACACACACUCAUCACGUCUCUUUUCCUUUUCCCUCACAAAACAAAUUACACACACAUAAUUUCCAUUCCAGUAAGACAAAUACUCAGCUCACAAGCACUGACCUCACUACACAUUAAAUCACUCAUACCUCACUAAUUUACGUCUUCAUGCACUCACGCAUAACUAUCAGAAAUACACACAGUAAAGAGAUUGAGAAGGAGAUCGUGAGGGAGAGAAGAGAAACAGAGAGAGAGUUGGCAGUAGAAUGAUGUGAGGGACAAAGAUCGAGGGUGACCAGAGAUUAGAAACGGUGAGGAGGGGAGAGGUAGACGCAACAAUGAGAGAGAGUAAGCUAAAAUCAAGUGAGAAGUGUGAAAACAUAGAAUGGAGAUACUCCAGCUGACUGGUUCAAGUUUUCCGGUGAACGGCUCUCUGAAAUCCACCAUCUCUCUCCAAAUAUGACCCAUUGAAAAACAACCGCUUCCUCCAUUAAUUUCGGUGGAAACCACAACCGGAUUUGGCUACUCCUAAAAAGGGUCAAAUCAGUUUUGAUUCGGGUUUUGUUGAUUCCCUAUUCUCGACGAUUUCUUGUUUGGUUUGGAUUUCUAGAGUUUCACGUUUGGGUUUAGGUUUCCAUUGAAAUUCUUGUUCCGGAUAUUCUGUUGUUUCUUACUGGUUUGGAAUUCGGAUCCGUUUGGGUUGUGGGUGCUCAAUUCUGAGUUGGUUUAGACGUUGUAGAGGUUUUUCUCGUCUGAGAGUUCACGUUUCAUCUUCAUUUAUUCAUUAUUAUCAAUCAGAAUCUGAAUCUCUUGAGGUCCAAUUCUCAACUCUUUUGUUUUGUUAUGUUUACGAAGUUGAUGAUGUGAUUUCGUGGUAUUUUAAAUGAUGUGAAUUCUCACAAUUGGCUUGAUUUGAUUCGUUGACUUUAUAUUGAAAUUGAUUAAUGGUUUUGUUGAGAACAACUUGAGUUUGUUUUGGGGUAAAUGAAAUCGGGGUGAGAAUUAGAAAUGAAAAAAUGAAUAUUGAUUAAUUUUGAUGUAUUGAUAAUGUUGAACAUGAUGGACUUGUGAUAUGUUGAACUUAGGUGGGAAAAUUUAGGAAUAACGAUUUAUUGGAAUGUUUAAAUAUGCACGUGAAUAGUUCAUUCUACUUUAUCACACGAAAAGUUUAAAUUGUACUCAUUUGGCCGGGGAAUGCCCUGAAGGACUUGUAUCAAUUUAUCCGGGGAAUGCCCCAAAGUAGCAUGUACGCAAAGGAGGCUCGUGAUCAAGGCUCGGAACGUCCGGUGGAGUUUAGCUUAAGAUUAGUUUAGAAUAGAAUAGGUUUUAUAUUUUUAGCAACUCUUUUAUUUUGGACUGUAUAAUUUGGACUGAACAUUAUUUUGUUUUUUUUUUUUAAUUUUGUGUAAUUUUUUUGUUUGCUUGUUUUGUAUGUUUAUGUGGUUUGUACAUUUUAUAGUAUCAAGAUUAGCCGAUACGCUCUACCAAGCGACCGUGGUUGAACCAUGGGAUCGAGGGGUGACUAACACCUUUCCUUUGGUCAACAGAAUUCCUUAGCCGGAAUCUCUGGUUUUAAAGAGUCAAAUCAUUUUGAAAAGGAUUUUUCAAAGGUGACUUGGUACACCGAAUUAUGCCAAGUGGCAACUCUGAUUUUUAUUGUUAAAGGUCCUUUUCGGAAAAAAUUCUUCUUUUCUCACUUUAUAAUAAAAACUCUUUUCAAACUUAAAAUAAAAUAUUUCUUUUUGGGAGUUAAAAAAAAGGGGUGUGACAGCUCUGGCGACUCUCCUGGGGACUUUUCAGAAUUUGAGCUUAUUUUGGAGUUGUAACGGCUUAGUUUGACACUAUAGGUGUAUAGACAUUUUGUUUGUGUUGUUUUGUGUUAUUGUAUUAUCACUGUUGAGUGCCUACGUGCUCUUUGUUUACAGUUUUUAUCUUAUGUGUUACCGUUUUAUAUCUGGCAUCAUGUGCAUAACCCGAGUCAUUCUUUCUGCAACAAGUCCGUAGUACACGUGUUAUACAUGACCUCUAGUUGAGUCACCCUUAUUUUGGGGGGAGCCAUCGGUGUUAUGGAGUAGGUGGAAAGCAAAGCUCCCACUAUCGACCAUACGCUUCCCCGAAUAGUCUUAUUAGUGAACCCCAACGUAGGUCAGCCUUUAGGUCAUGCUUAUGUGCAUCAUAUUGAAGACCUAGCGGGGCCCACUUGGUUCUUUGUAGGAAACUCACCUCUAAAGUAUCCCUACAUGCUAAAUGUUGCAUCUUUGAGGGUAACGAGGUCAUUUGACAGACUGAUUUGGGCAAAAUCAUGAGUUAGAAGCAAAGUGUGUAGGAAGGAAAUUGUUGAAAAAAGAAAGAAAAAAGAGUGAAAAAAAGAGAUUUGGUAGUUUUUAGGGUUCUUUAUGGCUUUUGUUUUUCACAAUUCAAAAAUUCAAAAAAAAAAGUUCUUUAUUUUACUUUUUGCACUCAUUUCCCCAAAAAUCAAAAACGUUAAUUUUUUUUCUUUUAUUUCUUUAGUAAGCAUUCACAAUUCGAAAACUCCAAAUUUUUUUUCCUUUCAAUAGGAGCUUUGUACAUUUUUAUAUAACGAAAAUAUCAAAAAAAAUUUCUUUCAUAGUUGUUGGUGUUAGUUUCUAAUUAAAACCCCCAAAAAGAUUUUAUUUUCAUCAUUUGUCUUUAGUUGUGUCUCUCAAUUUGGGGUUUAGUUUGUCAUUUAAUCCUUAAUUGUCCAAUUUGGACGAACUACGCACCCUUGAUUCUCCGCUUUCGGGAGUGAGAUACGUAGGCAGCCUAUUGUUGGUUCGGGGAUCUUAUUUAAAAAAUCUAAAAAGAUUUUCUUCACUCUUUAUUUAGAGUAGGUGUUUCAUACAUAUCUUGAAAAGAAAUAUACAAAAAGAAAAGAUUUUCCUCAAUAGUCGUAGGUUUCAUUUUUGGUUGAUCUUAUCUCAAAAAUUCAAAAACAUUUUCUUCACUCUUUAUUUAGAGUAAGUGUUUCAUAUACAUCUUUAAAAGAAAACUACAAAAAGAUUUUUCUUUAAUAGGUUCAAGUUUCAUUUUUAUAUGAAAUUCAAAAUUGAAAAUCCAAAAAGAUUUUUCUUUGGUAAUCAUAGGUUUCAUUUUGUAUAGGAAUUUUAAAUGUGAAAAAUGCAAAAAGAGUAUUCUUUUGACAAUUUGUUAUUUUUUUCUCUUUUUAAAGUUUCAAGAAAAGAAAAAAGAAAGGAAAAAGUUUAAUUGGUCAUUUUGGCAAAACUUCGCGAACUACGCAUACCUAAUUCUCCUUUUUCGAGUGUGAGAUACGUAGGCGCCCUUCUUGGGUCGGAUGAUCUUUUCUAAAAAAAAAAAGAUUUUGAAGAAAAAAUAUUGAACUCUAACAUAUUUGUUGCCUCUUGUUCAGUUAGUUUAAGGUGGUCGGUUUGUGGCUUCCUGGCUGGUCCUCCACAUCACACCAAAUCCAAAGAAGGGUUAGUUGUGUCCAACAAGGAUAUAGAGAGUGGUAUCAUGGAUGAAACAAAGAGUCAGAAAAUUGACAGUUUAAAGGAAGAGAAUUUGAGACUGAGACAACAAAUGAUGGAAAUGUACCGAGCUUGGGCCAGUGGGCUGCCUCCACCUCCGUUCUCUACUUUUGACCCUGCAAAUACCGUGAGUCUUCUACCAAAAUUGCAAAGUCAGUUUCUUCCUGUUGUUGAUGCAUCACUACAUGCCAUAGAAUCCAUUUCACGUCAAAUGCACCCGAAUGCUUCCGCUUCUCAUUCUUUAGCUCCUCAGUAUAAGCCUACCACAUUCAUAGCACCACAUACCAUCUGUAAUUUUAUUGCUCAACCUUCUACUGAAGCUUCCACAUUGCCUAUCAAUCCAAUAGUUGUGCUGCCUUAGUUGUGCUGCCUCAAUCUGCUAGUGGACCCAUGUUCAAGGAUCUUGAUGAUCAUUUUUAUACUCUUGAGCCUACAGUUAAGUUAAUAGGAACGCCAAAAUUUCUUACCAAGAAGCCUAGCAUACCAUAAAAAUCAGAGAAAAUAAUGGGGAAAGUGAAGAGUGUAGAAAAUGAUAUGGAAAGUUUCUUGGGACUUGUGGGUAAAGAAGAUGUUUCAUAUAAAGACUGGGGCAUGUCUUCAAGUAUCAACCUUCUUCAAAGCUUUGAGAUAUCAAAAUUUGAGGAACAUGAUGGGCAGAAGGAUUCUGUGAAACAUUUGGGACGAUAUUGCAAUCAAUCCAGGGAAACUGAAGGAAAGAAGAAGGGAAACACACCUAUUGUCGUGCCAGGGCCAAAAUAGAGUUUGAGAGGUCCAACUCACCAAUACUAUUAGCCUCAAUCCCGAGCUUACAUAUCAAAUCCACUUACUCAUUUGCAACAAGGUUCCUCUUUUUAAAAUCCAAGGAGUUUCAUUCCACUUCCUUAAUGUCCUUUGAAUAAUGCACAAUUGUUUACCCAUCCGACUUCUUAUCCACAAUUGCAUGCACCUGUCCCUCAAUAUCAUCCUCGACCCCCACAAAUUUACCAAGAAACCUCUAAAUACAAGUUUCAUCCGAGACCAGAGUUCGUAAAGAUGAGGGAGGAAAAGAAUAAUUUCACUCCUAUUGGGGAAUUUUAUGCCUGUUUAUUCCAGAGAUUGAGACAAAGAGGCAUGAUUACUCCUCUCCUUGGGCACACUCUUAAUCAACGUUCAAAAAAUUUUAAUACUAAUGCACGAUGUGCGUAUCAUUCUGAUGCUCAGGUUCAUAGUAUUGAAGAUUGUCGAGAUUUUAAAAGAGAAAUUGAAAAGAUGACUCAAGAUGAAUCAAUUAUGGUGCAGAACAUUGACAGUGAGGGAAGCUCCAGUUAUGUUGAUAUGCAAAUCAGUGGCUAAGUUGUCAGGCUGAGCAAUUGAGAAGUCACCCCUCUCCCUACUAGGAAGAGGUCUGGUAGUCUAUUUUGUUUUCUUUUUCUAUUUUUCGAAGUAUUUCAGGGUUGUAGUUCGGAAUUUCCUUUGGUUGUUUAUGUUCGAACCCUUCUAUCUUUAUUUUCAACUAAAUGAAGUGUCCUUUCCCUUUAUGUUUUAAUUAUGUUUUGUUUAUUUGUUUUCUUUAUACAGUACAUUUUAUGUUGACUCUAGUGAUAUGACAUGCUUGCGGAAUUUUCAGCCAGAUCUUAAAAUCCAAUUUAACCAUGAAAUAUGGAAUAAGAGGGCUAAGGUUAGAAGAAACAUUUGAGAAAAUAGAUAGAGUGCUGAGACAUUUGGUGACAAGUUGAAGCCUUUUCUGAAAAUUAAGGCAAUUAUUUUAGGAAUCACAAGAAUAACUUGCCCAUCAAUUGAAAAACAUGUCUCAAUUAGGUCAAACAGUGACUGCGUGAUCCUAUAUCAAGAGGAACAAAAAGAAACCAACUCCAUAAAAACAUGAAUCAUUCGAUGUGAGGGAUGCUUAACAAAGGGGGAGUUGUAUGCUGGACAAGUAUAGAACAAAAAGUGACACAUAUGUUCAGUUAAAGUUAGUGUUGUAAAAAUGUCAUGAAUGAUCUCCAUCUUUCAUUUUCACAUUGCAUGAUAUGUACUUGUAUUUUCAAGGAUUGAUAAGACGAAGGCAUUUUAUUCUGCUAUCCAAACAUCGUGUCAUCCUUUGUUUACCUCAUUUGAGCUUUUUUUCUAUUUUCUUUCAUACCCCUCUUUUGGAAUCAAGAUAGAGUCAACAAAGUUCAAAAGAAAAGUGUCGAGCAAAACAACGGAGUCAUAAAAAUUUCAAAAAAAAAAAAGAAAAAAAUAGGUCAAAACAAGAAAGAAGAAAGAAAAGAGAAGAGUGUCAAGAAAAUAGAGUCAGAAAAAUCCCAAAGAGAAAAAAGUCAAUAAAAGUCAAUGAAAAAAAAGUCAGAAUCAAGCAAAACAAGCCGCCAGAACUAUGCAUGACCUGAUUCUCCUCUCUCGGGGGUGAGAUACGUAGGCUGCCCUACUCUGGGCUCGGUCCAACCAAAUAAAUAAUUUAGAGUCACCCAGUCAAAAGAAACUGGGGCAUGAGUUAAUCCUCAUUGUUUUAGUCAAUUCCAAAAGUUGUAAGUCCUACCCCACUUCAAGUGUCGUUUGGGCCCCGUGCCAUUCUUUCUUUCUAACCCUAUCCAAAAGCCAAGUUACAACCAAAGAAAGACCUUCAGAUCAAUAUUUGAAGAUGUUAAGGCUAAGCAUGCAAGGGAUAUGAUGAUGCAUUUGGGAACUACUUGUCUUCUUCAGCAUAAGAAAUCAGGAGAGAAAUAAAAAUGAGAGAGUCUUAUUGGUGAAAACUCUCACGGGCACCGUAAGAUAUUUGUGAGUUAAGGGAAAUAAAGAUAGGAGAGUCUCAUUAGUAGAAAACCUUUACAGACACCAUAAGGCAAUGGUGAGCUGAGGAAAAGAAAAUGAGAGAAACUUAUUGGCGAAAACCCUUCAAGGCGUCACUAGCCGAAUAGGGUCUUAAAUGCAGUUGACCUAAGGAAGCAACUCAGUUUCAAGGUCAUUAACUCAACAACAAUGGGUAGAAAGUUUGGAUGAAAAGAUCAAGCUGCUUAAUCCAAAAUGCAUGGCAUAAUCAUUAAGCAUGACUUUCAUUUUUAGAUAAAUUUUUCAUUUCUUUAUUUCAAAUGGGGACAUUCAUUGUCUUUUCUUUCUUCUCUUUAUUUUUAUUUUAUUUUCUUGAGUUAAUUUCCCAAAUAAAAGUCAUUGUCAUUUUUCUCUUGUCUUUGAGUGAAGUCCAUAUCAAAACAAGUAAGAAAAGAUUUCAAAACUGGCUACCAGCUUCUUCAAUUGCACAACGCAAGACAAAAUACCAACACAUGAAAGAGACAUGAUUGUGAGUCGAAAUAAGGCAUGUUGAAAGUUUUGUCAACAGACAAGUCUGGGAACUUAUGGAAAUAUCAAGGUUCAAAGGGUAUAUCUAAGAAGCAUGGCAAAGCAGAAAUACUAUGUUUGUUUCAGAGUCACUCUUAAUAAUCUGAGUUUGGAUCAAUGAUGCAGCGAGUCAAUGACAUAUGCUAAUGGUUGAAAGCAAGAUUAAAUGUGACAGGGGCAAGAUAAUUGCCACAAAAGCCAAAGUUACAAACUAGCCACCAUCUUUUUAAAACUUACAAGUUUUCUUUGAAUGAAACAGGAAUACAUGUUAUCUUCAAAUCAAGGACUUUAGGGUCUAAAUAUCAAAGCUAGUAAUGCAUCACUUCCGCAAAUGCAAGAGGAAAUAUUGCUACACAAAGUUGGUAAUCAAAACCAUGGUAAAACUCAUACUCUAAUAUCUCAAGGAGACGCACUUCCUUGUUUGGGUAAUUCAAGCGGCAUUUGUGAGGAGACUUACUUUCUUAUUUGGUGAAUUCAAGAAACAUUUCUAAGGAGACGCACUUCCUUGUCUGGAUAAUUCAAGCAACAUUUGUAAGGAGACGUACUUCCUUGUUUGGACAAUUCAAGCAAUAUUUGUAAGGAGACGCACUUCCUUGUUUGGGCAAUUCAAGCAACAUUUGUAAGGCGACGCAGUUUCUUGUUUGGACAAUUCAAGCAAUAUUUUUAAGAAGACGCACUUCCUUGUUUGGGUAAUUCAACCGACAUUUGUAAGGAGAUGCACUUCCUUGUUUGGAAAUUCAGCAACAUUUGUAAGGAGACACACUUCCUUGUUUGGGCAAUUCAAGCAACAUUUGUAAGGAGACACACUUCCUUGUUUGGGUAAUUAAAGCAACAUUUAUAAGGAGAUGCACUUUCUUGUUUGGACAAUUCAAGCGACAUUUGUAAGGAAACACACUUCCUUGUUCGGGUAAUUCAAGCAGCAUUCGUAAGGAGACGCACUUCCUUAUUUUGGUAAUUCAAGAAGCAUUGGUAAGGAGACGCACUUUCUUGUUUGGGUAUUUCUAGAAACAUGUUUAAGGAAAAGCACUUCUUUGUUUGGAUAAUUCAAGCAACAUUGGUAAGGAGACACAUUUUCUUGUUUUGGUAAUUUAAGCGGCAUUGGUAAGGAGACGCACUUUCUUGUUUUGGUAAUUCAAGAGGCAUUGGUAAGGAGACACACUUUCCUAUUUGGGUAUUUCUAGAAACAUUUGUAAGGAGACGCAUUUCUUUGUUUGGGUAAUUCAAGCAACAUUUUGUAAGAAGACGCACUUCCUUGUUUGGGUAAUUCAUCCGGUAUUUGUAAGGAGAUACACUUCCUUGUUUUGGUAAUUCAAGCAAUAUCUGUAAGGAGACGUACUUUCUUGUUUGGGUAAUUCAAGCUGCAUUUGUAAGGACACACACUUCCUUGUUUUGAUAACUCAAGCAACAUUGGAGGCCGUCCGAAGCACAAGGCGAAUAAAUGGAAAGUCAAGCAACAAGGUGAAACAAUUGAAAGUCAAGCAACAAAUUGAAAAAUUGCAAGUCAGGAGCUCGCCUGAAGAAUAGGGUGAUGAAACUCAAGUCAAGAGUUCAAAAGAAGCUGCAUAGAUAGGACUUUUGUAAUUUUAUUUAUCUUUUUAACUCUUGUAAUUUUUUAUUUUUGGAUGUAAUGACAGAGCCGCGACCGGAACCUCGAUGGGACCUCCCUCGACUCUCCAAAUCGGUAUAGUCCAUCUCCUUCCAAUCCUAUGAGAUACCUGUCACUUGAUUCCCUCAUAACUUGGGUAGGUAGGAUGUCCUAAUUCAAGACUUUGUGUCCCUCUUUUCUUCUAUUUCGUUCUUCUAAUAAUGGUCGGGAUAAAAUUCUGUCUCGUUGUCUACUUCUUUAUUUGAAAAUACUUCAUGUUUACAUUCAAAGGGGGCAUGCUGUAGACACCUAAUUUUGUCCCUCCCAAGUCCAAUUUUAUUCAUUUUAGCUCACCUUACCACACACCCUCAUCCAUGUGAUUAUAUCCCAUAAAAAUACAAAAAAUAACAAAUGCCUAACCAACCUAAUCCUCAUGAUUCUCUUAAUUACAAAUUAACAACCCUCCCUAUUAAAAGUUGACUACACAUCAUCACCUCCACACCCCAUUACCAUUACCUCAUGUGACCCCCUCCUCUUACCUAGCUUUCUUGACAUGUUUUUGCCAAUUCCAUAUAUACAGAAUUCCAAAAAAAAAAAAGAAAAAGAGAAGAGGCACAUACCAUAUGCAACACGUGAAAGGGGCCCAUUUGGAGAUUUUUUAUUCUCUUUCCAAUGGAAAAAGGCAUAGAGGCCAUUUUUUUUAAAGGGGGAGGGGGUGAUGGAUUCUCACUCAUAAUCUCACCAUUACACAAGCCAUAUUGGAUUUUCCUUCAUAUAAACACCUCACGCCAGUAACAGAAAGGACCCCUGCACACACUCAUCACGUCUUUUUUCUUUUUCCUCACAAAACAAAUUACACACGCAUAAUUUCCAUUCCAGCAAGAAAAACACUCAGCUCACAAGCACUGACCUCACUACACAUUACAUCACUCAUACCUCACUAAUUUUUGUCUUCAUGCACUCACGCACAACUAUCAGAAAUACACACAGUUAAGAGAUUGAGAAGGAGAUCGUGAGGGAGAGAAGAGAAACAGAGAGAGAGCUAGCAACAGAAUAACGUGAGGGACAAAGAUCGAGGGUGAUCAGAGAUUAAAAAUGAUGAAGAGCGGAGAGAAAGAUGCAACAACGAGAGAGAGUGAGAUAAAAUCGAGUGAGAAGUGUGAAAACGCAGAAUGAAGAUACCCCAGCUGAUUGGUUUUGAGUUUUUGGGCGAACGGCUCGCCGGAAUCCACCAUCUUUCUCUGAAAAUGACCCAUUGGAAAACAACCGCUUCCUCCAUAAAUUUUGGUGAAAGCCACAAUCGAAUUCGGCUACUCCUAAAAAGGGUCAAAUCAGUUUUGAUUACGGUUUUGUUGAUUUCCUGUUCUUGACGAUUUCUUGUUUGGUUCGGAUUUCUAGAGUUUCACGUUUGGGUUUAGGUUUCCAUUGAAAUUCUUGUUCCGGAUAUUCUGUUGUUUCUUACUGGUUUGGAAUUCGGAUCCGUUCGGGUUGUGGGUACUCAAUUCUGAGUUGGUUCAAACGUUGUUGAGGUUUUUCUCGUUCGAGAGUUCGGGUUUUGGGUUUAUUCAUUUGUUAUUAUCAAUCAAAAUCCGAAUCGCUUGAGGCCUAAUUCUUAACUCUUUUGUUUUGUUAUGUUUUCGAAGUUGAUGAUGUGAUUUCGUGGUGUUUUGAGUGUAUGUGAAUUCUCGCUAUUGGCGUGAUUUGAUUCGUUGACUUUAUAUUAAAAUUGAUUAAUGGUUCUAUUGAGAGCAACUUGAGUUUGUUUUGGGGUAAAUGAAAUCGGG
rnacentral:lncRNA from 1 species